GAAGCAAGCACCAAAGAAAUGGCAUGAGAAGUUUGACUUAGCAAUAAUAUCAUUCGGGUUUAAAUAUAAUAGCGUUGAUAAAUGUUUAUAUUCUAAAGUUAGUGAUGAUUAUGUGACAUUUAUAUGCUUGUAUGUUGACGACAUGUUGAUUAUAAGUAAUUACAUGGACGGAGUAGAAGAAAUAAAGAGGUUUCUUUCUUCCACAUUCAAGAUAAGGCACUUGGACAAGUGGAUACCAUUUUAGGUAUCAAAGUCAUAAAGACUAGUGAGGGUUACUAUCUAAGUCAAUCACAUUAUAUUGAGAAUGUAAUAAAUAAGUUCAAACAUUUGAACAUAAAAGAAUGUAGUACCCCGAUUGAUCCAAGUUCAAAACUAAUAAAGAAUGAUGGAAGGGCGAUUGCUCAAUUGGAAUAUGCAAGUGCUAUAAGGAGUCUUAUGUAUGUUGUUCAAUGCACAAGAUCAGAUAUAGCUUAUGCAAUAAGUAAACUUAGUAGGUUUACUAGCAAUCUGAGUAAUGAUCAUUGGAAAGCUAUUGUAAGAGUUCAUGGAUACUCAAAGAAAACUAAGAACUUGGGCCUACAAUAUACUAAAUUCCCGGCGAUAUUGGAAGGAUUUACCGAUGCUAGUUAGAUAUCUAGCACGGGUGAAAGUAAAUCCACUUCGGGUUGGUUAUUCACUCUUGGAGGAGGUGCUGUUUCUUGAAAAUCAAAUAAAUAAACAUGUAUAACACACUAACCAUGGAAAUUAAAUUUGUAGCUUUAUCGGAUACCAGAAAAGAGGUUGAGUGGCUUAAGGAUCUCUUAUAUGAGAUACCUUUGGGAUCGAAGAAUAUCUCUUCAAUACCUAUCAUGUGUGAUAGUCAAGUCACGUUAGCAAAGGCCUAUAACAAGGUAUACAAUAGAAAGUCUAGACAUAUGAGUCUGAGACAUGACUACAUAAGGAAAUUAAUCAAAGAUGGAAUAAUUUUCCUAAACUAUGUAAGGUCAAUUGAGAAUUUAGCGGAUCCUUUAACUAAAGCACUAAAUAGAGAUUUAGUGACAUCUACUUCGAGUAGGAUGGGGUUGAAACUUCUUAACUAAAAAGGUCCACCAAUGACAGCAACCCUACCUAUCAUUAAUCAAAAAGUAAUCAACGGGUUCAAAGGGUAACAACAAGUCAUUCGAUAUGUGGAUAGUUGCAGCAUUAUUCAAAUCCGCAAUGACCCUAUCCUAAUUAAAUAAUACUGGUUGUUAUUGAAGUGAGAGUUUUGAGCUUAAAGCUCUUAAUAAAAUUCAGUGCUAAAACACAAGUACCUCUAAAAGUAACAAAGGUACCGGAAGAACUUCACCUAGACUAACUUCGAGGUGG
rnacentral:sRNA from 1 species